UACGUAGGGGGCGAGCGUUGUCCGGAAUCAUUGGGCGUAAAGGGCGCGUAGGCGGAUAUUUAAGUCUGAUGUGAAAACUUGGGGCUCAACCCCAAGCCUGCAUCGGAAACUGGAUAUCUUGAGUGCAGGAGAGGAAAGCGGAAUUCCCAGUGUAGCGGUGAAAUGCGUAGAGAUUGGGAGGAACACCAGUGGCGAAGGCGGCUUUCUGGACUGUAACUGACGCUGAGGCACGAAAGUGUGGGUAUCAAAC
rnacentral:rRNA from 1 species